rnacentral:sRNA from 2 species
GUCGGGUGUGAUAGAGAGGUCGAGGUCGAAGGGGUCGAAGACGAAGGUUGUAUCUAGACUGUAGACAAGCAGGCCUUCCGUAGACGAGGCGCAGAAAGAUUGGCCGGUUGGCGAGAAAGCGACGGAAGUUACCCGCACUUCGGGCCGCGUGGUGCGUGCGCCUGCGUCGCCGCCACGACGAGUGCCGGGGAGACGCUUGUCGAUGCGAUCUUCCAAAUCUGACGCUUCACCAGCUUCGUCUAUGAGGCCGCGUGGACCAGCUUCGGUUAUAUCCCUGCUGUUGAGGAAUUCCUGUGUGCCGUCAAGAGAGGCAGAUGUAUUUGCUGUUACCCGCGGCGAGUAGGCAGCUUCCAUCGGCUGAGUAAGUUAUCGUGUUGUAUGACUUGGUGCCUGCGGCAUUGGCAGCUGUUCGACGGUCGGAUAUUUUACGGCCUCCUGAUACGUCGCGUCGACCAUCUAUUCCCCCCUCCUGCACGGCUUCUUCGACUGACC